rnacentral:rRNA from 1 species
GAACUGUGCGAACGUUAUUCGGAAUCACUGGGCUUACAGGGUGCGUAGGCGGCUUGUUAAGUAGGGUGUGAAAGCCCCCGGCUCAACCGGGGAAUGGCGCCCUAAACUGGCGAGCUAGAGUGAGAUAGGGGUGUGUGGAACUUCCGGUGGAGCGGUGAAAUGUGUUGAUAUCGGAAGGAACGCCGGUGGCGAAAGCGACACACUGGAUCUUGUCUGACGCUGAGGCACGAAAGCCAGGGGAGCGAACGGGAUUAGAUACCCCGGUAGUCCUGGCUGUAAACGAUGAGCACUAGCUAGGAGGGGCGUAUGCCCUUCCUAACGGAGCGAAAGUGUUAAGUGCUCCGCCUGGGGAGUAUGGUCGCAAGGCUG